rnacentral:rRNA from 1 species
UACGGAGGGUGCGAGCGUUGUCCGGAAUCACUGGGCGUAAAGAGCGUGUAGGCGGUUUGGUAGGUCCGUUGUGAAAACUCGAGGCUCAACCUCGAGACGCCGAUGGAAACCAUCAGACUAGAGUCCGGAAGAGGAGAGUGGAAUUCCUGGUGUAGCGGUGAAAUGCGCAGAUAUCAGGAAGAACACCCGUGGCUAAGGCGGCUCUCUAGUACGGUACUGACGCUGAGACGCGAAAGCGUGGGGAGCGAACAGG